GAAGAGAAGGAACGUUUCCGACCCCAUGAAGUAUAUAUGUAUGUAUGAACAUAUGUAUAUUCUUGAUCAGCAUCAAUAGCCAUGUCAGUCUGUCCGUCCGUCUUCUUGGGAGCCUGGAUCUCAGAUACUAAUCUGAAGCCACUAAAUUUUGCAUCCAGAUGGCUGUACACUCACACUGUUACAAGUGUAUUUCAAAAUUUUGCUAGGCUCUCUUCUGCCCACACAUAUACAGACAAGGGGUAA
rnacentral:lncRNA from 1 species